rnacentral:rRNA from 1 species
AGAGUUUGAUCCUGGCUCAGAACGAACGCUGGCGGCGUGCCUAACACAUGCAAGUCGAACGUGAUUAGAGAGCUUGCUCUUUAUGAAAGUGGCGCACGGGUGAGUAACGCGUAGAUAAUCUACCUGAUGGAUCGGGAUAACACUUCGAAAGGGGUGCUAAUACCGGAUAAGCCCACGGGGUCUUUGGACUCUGCGGGAAAAGGGGGGGAUCGCAAGACCUUCCGUCAUCAGAUGAGUCUGCGUACCAUUAGCUAGUUGGUAGGGUAAAGGCCUACCAAGGCGACGAUGGUUAGCUGGUCUGAGAGGAUGAUCAGCCACACUGGAACUGAGACACGGUCCAGACUCCUACGGGAGGCAGCAGUGGGGAAUUUUGCGCAAUGGGGGAAACCCUGACGCAGCAACGCCGCGUGAGUGAUGAAGGCCCUUGGGUCGUAAAGCUCUGACAGAGGGAAAGAAAUGUAGAGUGGCUAAUAUCCACAUUACUUGACGGUACCCUCAAAGGAAGCACCGGCUAACUCCGUGCCAGCAGCCGCGGUAAUACGGGGGGUGCAAGCGUUGUUCGGAUUUAUUGGGCGUAAAGCGCGUGUAGGCGGUUUUAUAAGUCUGAUGUGAAAGCCCUGGGCUCAACCCGGGAAGUGCAUUGGAUACUGUAAGACU